rnacentral:misc_RNA from 1 species
UGGGUUUGACAUCACCCGGAAAGCCUCAGAGAUGGGGGCCUCUUCGGACUGGGUGACAGGUGGUGCAUGGCUGUCGUCAGCUCGUGUCGUGAGAUGUUGGGUUAAGUCCCGCAACGAGCGCAACCCUUACCCCAUGUUGCCAGCAGCGUCCUUCGGGGCGGCUGGGGACUCGUGGGGGACUGCCGGGGUUAACUCGGAGGAAGGUGGGGAUGACGUCAGUGCUUGCCU